GGGGGCGCACUGGUUUCGACGGGGACGUAGAAGCCUUAGCGGCAGGUCGAGGCGCCGCUGGCCUCGUAAAAAGCGGCACAAAAGUAAUUGCCAACAACGAUUACGACUACGCUUACGCUGCCUAAUAACAGCGAGGCAAAGACCGUUUAACGGUCACGUCGUCCAGGGCUAUGCCUGAUAACCCUGGAUGGCGACACUUAUCAGGCUGGCGGAGACCGGAGCUCACCGGGGUUUUCCGCGAGGAGGUUACCGGCGAGAUUGCUGUGUUGCGCCUGUUCAGGGGCCAACAACGUGGUGAAAUCUAUUCCUGAACUAAACCUGUAGAUGCUUCGAGUGGAAUGUUCUCGGACGGGGGUUCGAUUCCCCCCGCCUCCACCA
rnacentral:tmRNA from 1 species